AUCACAAGACCAUCUUUGCUAGCCAGGCCUCCUCUUCUCUCCUUCUCAUAACCUGUUUUGCCGUGAUCCAAGCCCCCGUUCUUUCUGUAACAAGAUGGUAUAUAAGCUUUUGCACCCCACUGGGGCAGGGGUGGGUGAUCACUCUGUGAUGCUCCCCAUGUACACAUUCAUAAAAUGUGUAUGCCUUUUCUCCCAUUAAUUUGCCUUUUGUGAGUUGACUUUUUUGUAAACUGUCUGAGGGUAAAGGGGAAGUGUUCUCUCCCUUUGCCCUACAGUUUUGGCACUGUGAGCAGGAUCACCAAAGCCGCUCUGUUUUUUUGGAAGCAGCAGUGAGGGGAAUCUAAGCCCUGAUUGGCCAGCAUAAGGGUAAGAAUUUAUUAUUUUAUUUUAUUUUAUUUUAUUUUUUGAGAUGGAGUUUUCACUCUUGUUGCCCAGGCUGGAGUGCAAUGGUGCGAUCUUGGCUCACUGCAACAUCCGCCUCCCAGGUUCAAGCGAUUCUUCUGUCUCAGCCUCCUGAGUAGCUGGGAUUACAGAUGCCUGCUACUAUGCCUGGCUAAUUUUUGCUAUCAGGACACAGUUAGAGGCACUGGUUAUUUUACCAAGGCUUUGACUGGAAUGGCAUAUUUUCAGACAUGAACAGACUGCUUUAAGGAAUUCACAUUGACUUUAUUGAGCUGCUAAGACAUCCCUUGGACAGACUGGCCUGGUAAUUUUUCUAUGCAGUUCCUUUACAAGGUUCCUGAGCUGUGGUGAGAAUGCAACAUUCUGACAGGCCCAUGCACCUCAAGUUAUUUUGAGACCUCAAGAAAAGAGAAAUUCAUCCAAUUUGUACAGGUAUUGAAGACAGUAUGGUGGCAAAUCCUUGGCUUGGCUUUCCACCCUCAAGGCUUUUAAAAAUGUAAUCUGUCAGAUUGCCACUGCAGUCCAAAGAUGCUCCAGAGACUCCAGAAAGACUAUUCUAUAGACUACUCCAGUCAUUAACCUUAAUUUUUCUUCUGUAUCCAUAGAAAUGCCUCUUAUUAAAGAUCUGUUUUCCUGCAUCAUACAUAGAGGCCUAGCCCAUCCGUUAUGCCACCUCCUGGAAUGGGACACAGCUGUUUAAUUGAGCUGAUCUAUCCUCAGAACUAAGAGACUGACUAAAGAAGAUAUGGAAUUCUAUAUUUAACUUUGCUCUUUUCUGCUUAUCCCAAUUGUUUUUUCCACUUUUCUUCUAUAUCUAACAACCUCUAACCAAAGUCUCUCCAAAGCAAUCAGCUUGGCCUUUAAAAUGUGAAAUUUUAAAGUUUCAAAGUGGGGACUAAAGGAUAUCAAAAUAUUUUAUCCCCCAAAAUAUAUUUCUUUGACAUAUUUUGAGAUGGCUGUCAGAGAGCUAGCAUACAGAAGUAGCCCUGCAAAGUUAUAUCUUGUGGGGGAAAUUUGCAUCUGUAGAAAAUCUGCAUUGAUGAAGCCAGGCCUUCCCUUGUCUAGAUCUGGGAAAGAUUAACUGAGAGUCUGAAACACCUUUAAAGGUCUGAAAGAAACAUUUGCCAUCUAUUCUCUAACAGGACUGCUACCUGUGAAGUUUCAACUAUGUAAUGAGAACACCUUUGCUAGCCAAGCCUCCUCUUUUCUCCCUUUGGUAAUCUGUUUUGCCACAGCCGAAGCCCUCAUUCUUUUUGUAACCUCAAGAUGGCAUUUAAGCUUCUGCAUUCCAUUGCGGGGUUGGGUAAUCACUCAGUAAUGUUCCCCAUGUGUAUGCUAAUAAA
ensembl:lncRNA novel transcript